CAAAAACUAAAACACGCCUCUUGAAGCCCCUGUUUCUCUCUAAACCCUAGAUCUCCUUCGCCAAUUUCCCCAACAACGAACUACCACCAUGAACCGGUGUUCCCUUCUCUUUCUUCGCCACCACCACCCAUUCACCCUCACACCACCGACUACCAGAUCCAUUAACACAUCCUCUGUCAGCCACAAUCUUCAAUCGUUGCUACCAUCUACGCCACCACUACAACCUAGAAGAGGGUCAACGGCUAUCCAAUCCCCCAUCAAGCCUCACAAUCUCACUCAAAUGUUAUUCCCUCUCUAAUGGACGAUCGAUGCACUACAAGUGCACCUCUACCUCCAACAAUGUCUGUAACCCCCUGUUGCCCCGCCUCCCUAUGUAUGAUACUGUUACCCUCACCCUUUGUUCCGAACUACUCCAUCUCCUCUCUCUUAUAUACCAUUGGUAACCUAAAAACACAAAAGAACACCUGUCCCGGUAGCCUAAUUAGGUAAUUACACCAUACAUGUGUUUGUCGUUGUUAAAAGGGAAUGUGUGGAUUCUUUCUUUUCACAGGCUUCUUUGGCAUGGAUAUCAAAGAAUGUACAAUCAACUUACAUAUUAGAUGUAUGUGGGAUUCUUUAUGAUCAAUAGGGUGCAUUUUUCAUCUACAUGUAAUCAAUUGUUGCACAGAUCUAUGGAUCAAUGUAAUACAGUAGGUGGAUUUAUAAAAGAGGAUAUUGGUUUAAUGUUUU